rnacentral:tRNA from 1 species
GCGGUGAUGGCCGAGUGGUAAAGGCGAUGGAAUCCAAUGGGAUCUCCCCUGCAGGUUUGAACCCUGCUUGCAGUG